AGAGUUUGAUCCUGGCUCAGAACGAACGCUGGCGGCAUGCCUAACACAUGCAAGUCGAACGAGAAAGUUCCUUCGGGGACGAGUAAAGUGGCGCACGGGAGAGUAACACGUGGAUAAUCUGCCCUUUAGCCUGGGAUAACCCUUCGAAAGAAGAGCUAAUACCGGAGAGACCACAAGAACUUAUGUUCAAGGGGUUAAAGAUGGGGACCGCAAGGCCCAUCACUAGAGGAUGAGUCCGCGCACUAUUAGUUUGUUGGUAAGGUAACGGCUUACCAAGGCUUAGAUGGUUAGCUGGUCUGAGAGGAUGACCAGUCACACUGGAACUGAGACACGGUCCAGACUCCUACGGGAGGCAGCAGUGGGGAAUUUUGGACAAUGGGCGCAAGCCUGAUCCAGCAAUGCCGCGUGAGUGAUGACGGCCUUCGGGUUGUAAAUCUCUGUCAGAAGGGAAAAAUGGUUCCUUGGUUAAUAUCCAAGGAAACUGAUGGUACCUUCAGAGGAAGAGGCGGCUAACUCUGUGCCAGCAGCCGCGGUAAUACAGAGGCCUCAAGCGUUGUUCGGAAUUACUGGGCGUAAAGAGAAUGUAGGCGGCGUUUCUAGUCAGAUGUGAAAGCCCAGGGCUUAACCCUGGAACUGCAUUUGAUACUGGAAUGCUAGAGUACGAUAGAGGAGUGUGGAAUUCCUGGUGUAGGGGUGAAAUCCGUAGAUAUCAGGAGGAAUACCAAUGGCGUAGGCAGCACUCUGGCUCGUAACUGACGCUGAGAUUCGAAAGCGUGGGUAGCAAACAGGAUUAGAUACCCUGGUAGUCCACGCCGUAAACGAUGGGUGCUUGUUGUAGGAAGUGUUAACCCUUUCUGUAACGGAGCUAACGCGUUAAGCACCCCGCCUGGGGAGUACGGUCGCAAGAUUAAAACUCAAAGAAAUUGACGGGGACCCGCACAAGUAGUGGAACAUGUGGUUUAAUUCGACGCAACGCGAAGAACCUUAUCCUGGUCUUGACAUCCUUGGACAAACGAUGAAAGUCGUCUUUUCCUUCGGGAACCGAGAGACAGGUGCUGCAUGGCUGUCGUCAGCUCGUGUCGUGAGAUGUUGGGUUAAGUCCCGUAACGAGCGCAACCCACGCCUCUUGUUGCCACCAUUAAGUUGGGCACUCUAGAGGGACCGCCGGCGUUAAGCCGGAGGAAGGUGUGGAUGACGUCAAGUCCUCAUGGCCCUUAUGACCAGGGCUACACACGUGUUACAAUGGGAAGUACAAAGGGAAGCAAAGCCGCGAGGUGGAGCAGAUCUCAAAAAACUUUCCUCAGUUCGGAUUGAAGUCUGCAAUUCGACUUCAUGAAGCUGGAAUUACUAGUAAUCGCAGAUCAGAACGCUGCGGUGAAUACGUUCUCGGGUCUUGUACACACCGCCCGUCACACCACGAAAGUUGUUUGCACCAGAAGUCGCUGUGUUAACUUCGGAAACAGGCGCCCAAGGUGUGAGCGAUGAUUGGGGUGAAGUCGUAACAAGGUA
rnacentral:rRNA from 1 species